AUCGAUUCUCGGCCUUUUGGCUAAGAUCAAGUGUGGUUAUCUGUUCUUAUCAGUUUAAUUUCAGUACUACACAAAUUCAGUGUUGUUCCUCUCACGGCUAGGAAGUGCCUCUGUCUCUCUAUCUCUAUAUAACCCUCUGUCCUUCCCUAGGUGAUCCUCCCUAAGGGCGGAGUCCUA
rnacentral:snRNA from 1 species